GGGGGUGUAGCUCAUUUGGCAGAGCGCGUCAUUAGCAUCUAAUAUGGUUCUGACUUGACGAGGUACUGGGUUCAAUUCCCAGCUCCUCCA
rfam:Cryptococcus depauperatus CBS 7841 supercont1.11, whole genome shotgun sequence.